UGAUAAUCAACACAUGUUUGGAAAGUUGGAAGGUCAGAGAAAAAUACCAGUCUUACUCUAGUUGUUACCCCAUUCUGCAUCUAAACUAUUCUACCCAGAAUCCAGGAGAACUUAGAGAAACAAGAGCCUGCAAACCCAGCUGUACUGAAGGAGGAACAAGAAGCAUCUGUGCUUACUGGGUUGGGAAAUAUAGACUCAUUUGAUCGUGCAGACUAGAAGCUGAUGACCUCUGGCACAAGGAGGAAGGCUUCUGCUCUUCCUGCGAGCCUGAAAACACAGAAUGGGUUUUCACUACAGUCCAUUGAUCUGAAAUAAGUAGAUGAGGCCAUAGUCAAACAACUGGAAGAAGUCUCCUGUUUGCAGGCUUUAUUCCUCCUGAACAAACUUGAACCACCACAAUAUCUUCCGGAAGGACAACACAACAGGGUGUAAGCAGUAUAGGAGGUUUCUGAGGUGCACUGAUGAUAACUCACUAAGUGAUCAAAUGAUGAAGAGAGGUUGGAUUUUUUU